UAUAUUUAAGGUCUUAAAAUAUAAUAAUUAAAAAUUAUAAAUAAAUUAAAUUUUAGUUUAAAUAUUAAUUUAUAUUUUUACUUAUAUAUAAAAUUUUAAAUUUAAAUAAAAAUAAUUUAAUAUAUAUAAUUAUAAAUAUAGUAACCUAUUAAUUAAAAAAAAUUAUAUUUUAAAUAAAAAUUGUGCCAGCAAUUGCGGUUAAACAAUUAUAAAAAAAUUAAUAAAAUAAUAAUUUUAAUAAAUUUGAAAUAAAAAUUAAAAAUAAAAAUAAUAUUUUGAUAAAAUAUAAAUUUUAAAAAAUUUUUAAUAUUUUUAUAUAAUGAAUUUUUUAAAAUUUUAAUAAAACUAGGAUUAGAUACCCUAUUAUAAAACUUAAAAAUAUUAAAUUUAAAUAUUAAAUGAUUAAAUCACUAAACUUAAAAAAUUUGACGGUAUUUUAACUUAUUUAGAGGAAUUUAUUUAUUAAUUGAUACUACACGAUAAAAAAAACUUAAAUUUACAUAUUUAUAUACUUCUGUAUUAAAAAAUAAUUUUUAAAUUAAAAUUAAAAUUUUUAUAAAAAAUAAUUCAAGUCAAAGUAUAAUUAAUAUUUAAGAAUGUAAUGAAUUACUUUAUUAAUAAAUUAAAUUUAUUAAAUUAAUUAAUAAAUAAAAAGAAUUUAAAAGUAAAUUUAUAUUUAUAUUAUAAAUUGAUUUAAAUUUUAAAAUAUGUACAUAUCGCCCGUCAUUCUCAUAAAUUUGAGGCAAGUCGUAACAAAGUAAUAUUACUGGAAAGUAAUAUUAGAUUAAA
rnacentral:rRNA from 1 species